UUGAUCGGACCCGUUGGGGUGGUUGAACCGCCGGCCGUGGUGGGCCUGGGGUCCGUAGAUGACAAGUGCAUUGAUUGCUGAGUGAACCGGUGGUCAGAAAGAGCCAUACGCUUUGAUGGUUCAGUGAUCCGGAGAUCAUCUUGAGCCGUGUUCAUUUAAUGACUGAGUGCAUCGAAGGCCUGAGGGGGUCUCAUGCAUUAAUGAUAGGGUGU
rnacentral:lncRNA from 1 species